GAACCAGGAAACCCUGCAUGAGACAUUUGGCAUCGACGAUUAAGAGGAGGAAGAGAUACUUCCACCUCCUGCAGGAAGAAGAGGAGGAGGAGGAGGAGGAGGAAGAAACCUCCCAGUUUCUCCUCAGCCAUUCAGGACAAUGAGGCAGAACUCACAGAUCUAUUUCAAUCAACAGCUGGAGCCACAUACUGUAACUUUAUGGACCAGCUGAUCAGGUGACCCCAACCCACGACCUCUGACCUCUGACC